rnacentral:rRNA from 1 species
AUUGAACGCUGGCGGCAGGCCUAACACAUGCAAGUCGAGCGGAUGAGGGGAGCUUGCUCCUGGAUUCAGCGGCGGACGGGUGAGUAAUGCCUAGGAAUCUGCCUGGUCGUGGGGGAUCACGUCCGGAAACGGGCGCUAAUACUGCAUACGUCCUGAGGGAGAAAGUGGGGGAUCUUCGGACCUCACGCUAUCAGAUGAGCCUAGGUCGGAUUAGCUAGUUGGUGGGGUAAAGGCCUACCAAGGCGACGAUCCGUAACUGGUCUGAGAGGAUGAUCAGUCACACUGGAACUGAGACACGGUCCAGACUACUACGGGAGGCAGCAGUGGGGAAUAUUGGACAAGGGGCGAAAGCCUGAUCCAGCCAUGCCGCGUGUGUGAAGAAGGUCUUCGGAUUGUAAAGCACUUUAAGUUGGGAGGAAGGGCAGUAAGUUAAUACCUUGCUGUUUUGACGUUACCAACAGAAUAAGCACCGGCUAACUUCGUG